UCUAAUGGAUGAGCAAAGAAAGUGGUUUCUUGGGAUGGAAACUACCCCUGAUAAAGAUGCUAUGAA
rnacentral:pre_miRNA from 1 species